CCUACGGGGCGCAGCAGUGAGGAAUGUUGGUCAAUGGACGAGAGUCUGAACCAGCCAAGUAGCGUGAAGGAUGACUGCUCUAUGGGUUGUAAACUUCUUUUAUAUGGGAAUAAAAUGUUCCACGUGUGGGAUUUUGUAUGUACCAUAUGAAUAAGGCUCGGCUAACUCCGUGCCAGCAGCCGCGGUAAUACGGAGGAUCCGAGCGUUAUCCGGAUUUAUUGGGUUUAAAGGGAGCGUAGGUGGAUUGUUAAGUCAGUUGUGAAAGUUUGCGGCUCAACCGUAAAAUUGCAGUUGAAACUGGCAGUCUUGAGUACAGUAGAGGUGGGCGGAAUUCGUGGUGUAGCGGUGAAAUGCUUAGAUAUCACGAAGAACUCCGAUUGCGAAGGCAGUUCACUGGACUGCAACUGACACUGAGGCUCGAAAGUGUGGGUAUCAAACAGGAUUAGAUACCCUUGUAGUC
rnacentral:rRNA from 1 species